UACAGAGGUCUCAAGCGUUGUUCGGAUUCAUUGGGCGUAAAGGGUGCGUAGGUGGCGCCGUAAGUCAGGUGUGAAAUUUCGGAGCUUAACUCCGAAACUGCAUUUGAUACUGCGGUGCUUGAGGACUGGAGAGGAGACUGGAAUUUACGGUGUAGCAGUGAAAUGCGUAGAGAUCGAUAAGGAAGACCAGUGGCGAAGGCGGGU
rnacentral:rRNA from 1 species